rnacentral:lncRNA from 1 species
UGAUUGGUGGUGGGGUAAAUGAAUCAAUGAAAAUGUCCCUUCAUCAAGUCAAGAAAGUACUCGACCGAUAGAAUAACACUUGCAAAUGAUCCCGUCUGAAUUAGAGAUCGUAAAGCAAGACUUCGAAAAGAAGAGUUCAGAGCUAGGGAAAAGGAUAGAAAAAUUAGAAGAGACAAAGAUUCAGCUAGGAUUGGACGUCGACGUCCAAAAGGUAGAAGCCGAAAAAAUGAGGAAACUAAAAAACAAGACUGAUGAAGACUUGGACAGUUUAAAGACAGAUUAUAAGAAACUGCGUCUGUCAAUAAGGACUGCUGGAUUGGGUAAGACAUCUGAACAAUGGCGGCAAGAAAUCCAAGAAGAAAAUAUUAGAGCUGAUCAGUGGCAAAAGAAAUUCUAAGAUGCUUGAGUCCGAGAAGAUGCUCUAAAAAGGGAUUUUUUAGAAAGAAUAGAUGAAAAAGUUGGAUUGAAAGCCCGAAUAGCAAGAUUUGAAAGAUCUCUGCAUCAACAUCGUAGUCACAGCUUUGUGAUUGAGUUAAAAGUAUGUCUGGCUAAGAUUAAAGAAUUGAAGAGAAAGAUAAAAUAGCUCGAGGUCGCACUGCAAAAUUGUGAACUUCGAGUUGAGCUUCUUGAAACAAAGAAUGAACAUUGGAAGGAGCAACUCCAAUGUUCUCAAGGGUAGCUUAGUGAUAGAUAUCACAUCAUGGGUGAAGCUUUAACUCAAUUAUGGGAAGUAGCUGACCAUUUGUAAACCCUAGCAGUUCAAGCUGACAUGCUAAGCUUAAGAUACAAAUCAAAAAUAGAUCGGGGCCGAGAAUUAGCUUGGCUUCUUAAGAAAGUCAAGGUUUUGAGUAUUAGGGCAAGACCAUAUAUGUAAAAUGUACCCGUUUUAUGUAAAUAAAUUUUUUUUUCUAUUAAAGUUGUUCUAAUGGAAUUGAACCAGAAUCAAUGCCUCUUUUUGCAUUCAUUUUUCAUUCAUCAGUAUUACAUUUCAUCGCAUGCAUUAAAUUUCAUAAAAAGAACCUAAUUAAUUAAAAUUAUGACAGUUACCCUAGAAACCAACAAGAAUCUGCCAACCAAAUAUCGUUACGAUACCCGUGGUAAAACCAAAGCCAUAGAUCAAAGGUUAGAGAGAUUAGAACAAAUUGAAAAAGACAUGCAAGAUCAGUUGCAAGCACAAUUGGAAGACCAAUUAGCUAAGGUACAACAAAACAUGAAAGACCAAAUACAAGAGUCCCAACGAAGCAUAAUAAGCCAGUUGACCCAGUUACUGGCCAGAGGGAUUGAAAAAGGGAAGAGUACUGUGAUUAAAUUUAGGGAUGAUAAUGAGGACCCUACAUACCCCUCGGGCUUUACCCUAGUGAAUGUUCAAGCCCAACCGGAUACAUAUCCAUGAAGAGUACCCGUUACCAUAAAACCACAAUACUAUCAUAUCAGUACCUCAGGACCAGUGAAUUACCCAACGUGUUUAGGUUCUAAUCUCGAAGAUAAUCCGACCAACACUGUUGUUACAAUUUGUACGACAUGACAGAAAUGGAUAGAGCAUGAGUAGAUUUGCCAAAAUAGCUAGAAGAUUGGUGCAAGUGGUUGGAGGAGAAAUUCAGAGCUGUGGAGACUAUUGACUACCUUUGCGGGGUCGAUGCCAAGGAAUUGAGUUUAGUCCCAGAUCUAAUGCUUCCACCAAAAUUUAAAACUCCAAAAUUCGAAAAAUACAAUGGAACUAGUUGUCUUGAAGCCCAUAUUAUAAUGGUCUACCGAAGAAUGAUAGGAUACAUUAAUAACGACCAAUUUUAAAGCCAUUGCUUCCAGGAUAAUUUGAUAGGGUCGACUGCCAAAUGGUAUAAUCAGCUAAAUCAUGCCAAAAUUAAUUCAUGGAAAGACUUGGCAUAGGCUUUCAUGAAAUAAUACAACCAUGUGACCGACAUGACACCCGGUAGAAUUACACUACAAAACAUGAAGAAUAAGGAAAGUGAAAGCUUUAGGCAAUAUGGUCAAAGAUGGAGAGAGGUGGCGUUCAGCCACCUCUUCUAGAAAAGGAGACGACAAUGCUUUUCACAAACACUUUGAAAGCCCCGUUCAUUAACCAUAUGCUAGGUAGUGCUACCAAGAGAUUCUCAAGUAUAGUAAUGUUAGGAGAAAGAUUGAGAAUGCAGUAAGGAGUGGAAAAAUAUACGUGGGGGAAAAUGUUAAAAGGUCUGCCUCGAGAAAGAAAGAAAAUGAAGUAAACAUCACGAGUGUGUAUAAUAAGAGUUAUUCAAAACUGGUUACUGUAGGCCAAUUAAGGACCAUGACAACUAGCCAUCAAGGUCCUUCGAGGAAAGAAUCUAACUCAAUGCCAAACACGAAAAAACUCCAAUUCACACCUAUCCCGAUGAUAUAUUGAGAGUUAUAUUAGAAUUUGUUAAACGCGCAUGUAGUAUCCCCAUUUUACUUAAAACCCAUGCAGCCUCCAUUCCCAAAGUGGUAUGAUGUGAAUGCUCAAUGCGAGUACCAGGCAAGAAUAACGGGACACUCGAUUGAGAACUGCAUGGCACUCAAGAAGUUGAUCAAAAGGUUCAUCAAGAUGGAGAUUAUAAGGUUCGAUGAUCCCUCAGGACCUAAUGUGGCAGGAAAUCCGUUACCCAGUCAUUCUAACUAAGGAGUAAAUACGAUAAUCGAGAGUGGAAGUAAGAGGACCAAAACCAAUAUUGCGGAGGUGAAAUCCCCACUAAGAUGGGUUUGGAAAUAAAUGAUAGACGGAUGAUUAAUCAUGCAAGAUUUAGAGGAGAUGCCCAAAGGAGUGAGGAACUACUAUGAGUUCCAUGCUAAAGAAGGCCAUGAGAUCCAAGAGUGCAUCGAAUUUAGAGCCCUAGUACAAAGUAUGAUGGAUGACAAAGAAUUGGAUUCUUUAAAGAUGUCAAGGGCUCGGAGGGAGGAGAUGUCUGCACCUUGGAGGAAGGAUCAAUGGAGAAAGUUUACAAGGUCAACCACCCAGUGGUGAUUAUUUCCCAGUCGAUAAGCAAUGAAGUGGGAGCACAAGCUACGCCAAGAGUCAUAAUUCAAAAACCCAUGGUUUUUUCCCUAUAAGAAUAGCAAAAAGGUUCUAUGGAAUUAUGAUUGUAAAGUGAUAAUCCCGAGAGAGGAGAACUCGGUUGGCACUUUUGAAGAGGGCCAGGAUAUUGGUUUCUUCACGCGCAGUGAGAGGUGCUAUGACCCUACAAGUGCAAGAACCGAGCUCCUUAAGAAAAAACCUUGGCAGUUGAGCAUAAGAAAGAAAAAAUGGCUAGACUUGAAUCACCUGUGAAUGAGCCAGUAACUGAGAACGAGGCUAAGGAAUUCUUGAAGUUCUUGAAACAUAGUGAGUAUAGUGUUGUAGAAUAGCUACACAAACAACCAGCUCAUAUAUCAGUAUUAACAUUGCUCUUGAGCUCAGAGACACAUCAUAACACGUUGAUGAAGGUGUUAAAUGAAACAUAGGUCGCUGAUAAUAUCUCUGUAAACAAGCUAGAUCGCUUGGUUAACAAUCUAAGUGCUGACAAUUCCAUGAAGGCUCUACACAUCACUACCUGCAACAAAGGAUAUACAUUUCCAGGAGUGUUAAUCAACAAUAGAUUCACGCUGAAAGUCUUACCUUUAUCCACGCUGAUAGGUUGUCACUGGAUUGCUCUCACAUGAAGACGUGCCAUAAAAUAGUGACAACAUUCGAUGGUACAGAAAGGAAUGUGAUAAGGAGGAUUGAAAUACCCAUCUUAAUUGGCCCGAACACAUAUGAGGUGGAAUUUUUGGAAAUGGAUAUCAAACCAUCCUAUAACUGCUUGCUGGGUAGGCCUUGGAUUCAUUUGGAUGGGGCAGUUGUGUCAUCGCUGCACCAAAAAUUGAUAUUGGUAAUAGAAGGUCGAUUGGUAACGUAAACGCUGAAGAGGAUAUCAUUGCAUCCGUAACUAGUGACACACCAUACAUAGGAGCGGAUGAAGAUGCAAUAAAAUUUUUCUUUUGAUCACUGGAAUUUGUUAAUGCAACUUUCAUUGUUAAAGGUAACAAGAUCUCAGUGCCAAAAAUAUCCAAAACCAAGAGGAUGGGUCAGCAAUUGACGAUCGGGAAAGGAGCCUUGCCUGGGAGAGGACUCAAAAAAUACCUUCAAGGAAGAGUCGAGGCACCAAUACUGAUGGAAAAACAAGACUACUUGUCUUAGGGUACAAGCCAGAUGCGAGACAGAAGAAGAAGGAAUUGGAAAAGAAGUAAGAAAGAAGAAGAGCACGACUAAGUGGGGGAGAGGUCAAAUGGGAACCGAUGAUCUUUCCCCAUAUAACUAAAACAUUCGUGUCAGGAGAAAUCAUUUGUCCUGAACAAAAAAUGGUAGAAAAUAGAGCUUGUGAAUCGAACCUGCGGAAGGAAUGUUGGGAAACUUGAGCAUCAAUGUCAUAUCCGAAGAAGGCGUUUGUCCUUAUAUCUCAGGAAGUGUUCUGAACAAUUGGACUACGGAAGAGAUCCUUGUAAUUUUUAGAACUAAUUCAGAGUAAUGUUCAAAACACACUUAUUGCUCUAAGCCUAGAGCAAUAGGAAUCCUUUGUGAAAAAGACAUAUGUCCACUAUUUUUAUUUCAAUAAAAUUUAUCUUUGUGUCUCGUUUGGCAAAUAGUCUUCUAUUUUUUCGUUUCAUUCAUACUCAUACCACAUAGAUUAUUAUUCUUAGAUUAAUUUGUUCUUUGGGUCUUCUUUGAUUCCUAUAAUAGGUCUUUGGAUAUCAAUGAUACGAGCAAUGUUGCUGCUAACUUAGAGUCUCCUUUUGAGCAGGAUAUGUGUCUAGAGGAACCUCAGGACUUUAAAGAUGAUUGAGACUGAAACUUAUCUCCUGAUUUGUUAAGGUUCAUAAAACAAUAUGAGAAACAAACCUACCUCACGAAGAGUUAGUAGAAAUUGUGAGCUUUAGAGACAAACAAAAAAAUAAAGAGGUAAAGAUCAGAGCUUGCAUCACUACAUUGACAAAGCGAUAUCUCAUUAAGUUACUUCAAGGAUUCAAAGAUGUCUUCGUAUGGUCGUAUCAAGACAUGUCUGGUCUAAGCACUGAUAUCAUGGUACACUGGCUUCUCAUAAAAGAAGAAUGCAAGCCGGUUCAAUAGAAACUUCGAAGGAUGAGACCCGACGCCCUGUUAAAAAUAAAAGAAGAUGUCAAUAAAAAAUUCAUGCUGGUUUCCUCAAGGUGGUUAAAUAAACGGAGUGGAUAGUACGAAUGUGUGUAGACUACAUGGAUUUAAACAAAGUUAGCCCAAAGGACAAUUUCCCGUUGCCUCACAUCGAUACCUUAGUGGACAACACGGUAGGUUAUUCACUGUUCUCCUUCAUGAAUGGCUUCUCUAGAGACAACCAGAUAAAGAUGCAUCCUGAAGACAUGGAAACGACCACAUUCGUAACAAGAUAGGGAACCUUUUGCUAUAAAGUAAUGUCAUUCAGACUAAAAAAUGCAGGAGUAACGUAUCAAAGAGCCAUGGUAACUUUGUCUCUUGAUAUGAUGCAUAAUGAAAUUAAGAUUUAUGUCGAUGAUAUGAUUGUAAAAUCCCGAACAAAAAAGAGUAUGUGAAAGUAUUGAUGAGAUUAUUUUUAAGGUUGAGAAAAUUCCAACUAAAGCUUAAUCCAACAAAAUGUACCUUCUAGACCAUGUUGGGAAAAUUGUUAGUGUUUAUAUACAGCGAGAAAGGAAUCGAGAUUGACCCAAAUAAAUUUAAGCCUAUUCAGGAGUUGCUUCCGUCGCGCACUCAAAAGGAGGUCCAAAGUUUCUUAGGGAGAUUAAAUUACAUUGUCUGGUUCAUUUCACAACUAACCGAGAAAUACGACCCCAUAUUUCGUCUCCUUAAGAAACAUAAUCCAAGUAUAUGGGAUGAGGAAUGCCAGUAAAUCUUCGACAAGGUCAAACAUUACUUGUCCAAUGCUCUAGUGCUGAUGCCACCUAGCCUAGAUAAGCCAUUGAUAUUGUACUUGGUAGUUUUUAGGAAUUCUAUGGGAUGCAUGCUUGGCCAACAUGGUGAGUCAGGGAAGAAAGAAAGAGCGAUACAUUGACUCAAUAAGAAAUUUACUGAAUGUGAGACAAGAUACUCGCCAAUUGAAAAGUUAUGUUUUGCAUUAAUUUGGACAACCCAGAGACUGAGACAAUACAUGUUGCACCAUACAACGUGGCUAAUCUAAAAAAUAGAUUCUUUAAAGUACACGAUGUAGCCGACUGCGUUGAAUGGAAGAAUGACUCGAUGGUAAAUUCUGCUAUCUGAAUUUGAUAUAAUCUAUGUAAACCAAAAGGUAGUAAAGGGGAGUGCAAUAGCGGACUUCCUAGCUAACAAAGCUCUAGAGGAUUACGAGCCUUUAAAUUUUGAUUUCCCAAAUGAGGAUUUGAUGUAUGUUGCAACCACUGAAGAAGGUACUCCAAAAGAGCAUCCUUGGAAACUAAAUUUUGAUACGGCCUCAAACGCUAUGGGUAACAGAAUUGGGGUAGUCAUGGUAUCCCCAAACGGAGAACAUUAUCCUUUUACCAGUAAACUUGAUUUUGAUUUCCCAAAUAACAUGACAGAAUAUGAAGCAUGCGUCAUGGGUAUCCAUGCGGCCAUAAAACACAAGAUCAAGGUGCUGGAGGUAUAUAGGGAUUUUGCACUAGUGAUCUAUCAACUCAAAGGAAAAUGGGAGACAAAAGAUCCCAAGUUGAUUGAUUAUAAAUGGUUGGUCCUUGAGUUAAUUAAAGAGUUUGAUGACAUCGCCUUUUGCUACCUACCAUGAGAUGAAAAUCAGAUGGCUGACGCAUUGGCUACCUUAGCUUCCAUGGUUAAAGUAAAUAAACAAGUGGAUAUAAAACCUAUCCAGAUGAGUAUUUAUGAGUCUCCGACCCAUUGUUACAAUAUUGAGAAAGAAGAAAAGAAUGACCACCCUUGGUACCACGAAAUAUUACACUAUGUAAAGAACUGUGAAUAGCUUGAGCAGACAACCAAAAAUGAUAAAAGAACGCUAAGAAGGCUGGCUAAUGAGUAUGUCCUAGAUGGAGAGAUCCUAUAUAAAAGGAGAGAGGAUAAGGUGCUAUUAAGAUGUAUGGACGCUGUUGAGGCUAAAAAAAUCUUGGAAGAAGUCCAUGAGGGUGUUUGCGGGACGCAUGCUAAUAGUUUUACAAUGGCUAGACAAAUCAUGAGGUUCAGAUAUUAUUGGUCCUCCAUGGAAGGAGAUUGUAUCAGUUAAGCCAAGAGAUAUCAUAAAUGCCAAAUUCAUGUGCCUCAUUCACCUUUUCAUGUUAUGACUUCACCAUGACCUUUCUCUAUGUGGAGCAUGGAUGUCAUUGGGCUGAUCUCGCCAAAAUAUUUUAAUGGGGCACCGAUUUAUCUUUGUGGUCAUCGAUUACUUCACCAAAUGGGUAGAAGUCGCUUCCUAUGCCAAUGUCACGAAAUCGACAGUUAGCAAAUUCUUGAAAAAAGAGAUUAUAUGUCGGUGUGGGAUGCCAAAAAAGAUCAUAUCUGACAAUGCAUUGGACCUAAACAAUAGCACGAUAGCAGAGGUCUGUAAUCAAUUCAAGAUUAAACAUCACAACUCAUCACCAUAUCGCCCAAAAAUGAAUGGUGCAGUGGAGGCAGCCAAUAAGAACAUUAAGAAGAUCGUAAGGAAAAUGAUAGAAACUUAUAAUGAUUGGCAUGAGAAAUUACCAUUUGCCCUUUAUGCUUAUCGAAUGUUUGUUAGAACCUCCACCGGGGCAACGCCUUUCUCAUUGGUUUAUGAAAUGGAGGCAGUUUUUCCCAUAGGAGUCGAGAUUCCUUCUCUCCGAAUCUUAUCAGAGUUGAAGUUAGAUGAAGUAGAAUGGAUCCAAUCUUUAUAUGAUCAGUUGAACUUGAUCGAAGAGAAUAGGCUAAGAGCUAUCCGUCACGGUCAGAUGUACCAAAAAUGAAUGAUGCGAGCUCAAGACAAAAACGUUCGUCCCAGAAAAUUCCAUGAAGGAGACUUGGUAUUGAAAAAGAUCCUGCCCAUACAAAAAGACUUCAUGGGAAAAUAGAUGUCGAAUUGGGAAGGACCUUAUGUGGUAAAUAAAGCUUUUUCUGGAAGAGUAUUGAUUCUCACUAAGGUGGAUGGCAAAAAACUGCCCAAUCUCGUGAGUUAAGAUUCGGUCAAGAAAUACUUUACCUGAAAAAAAAGUGAGAGGCCAAGGCGAAAACCCGCGAAGGGCGCCUCGAGACCAAACGGGUUUUGAGUUAAAAACCCAGAAAAGGGCGGCUCAAAUUUUGAUUAAAAAGAAGGCAUGGGGUAGUCAUGUCCCCUCAAAAGUAACAAGGAGGAGAAACUUUGGAUUUUGAAGCAUCAACGAAGUACUCUAGAUCUCCUAGAGACAUAUUAGGCUCAAAAUGGUUUUCAAGAAGUUUGUACAGAGAGGCUCAUGCUGCGAUAUCUAGGGCACCUAAUUUCAUUUUACUCACUUUGCGUUUUAGCAAUGUUUUCUAUUGUGAUUGAUCUUUUCAUUUCAAGCUUUGCUCCCAAUAAAUUUCAAUCUUGUCCAUUGUUAUAACCUUUUUCGAGCAUUUUUUACAUUGAAAUAACAAUUAACGGACUAAUAAUAUUCAAGUAAAAGGACUUCUGCAUAUUGCUCUGAAAGGUUUCUAAAUAGUACAAGGACCUCAAACAGGACCACUGGUUAGAACUAACCAGAUGUAAAGGCUUGAAAUAUCUGGGAACGAGUACUCCAAAUUGUGAUCACCUCUUUAGGUUUCCUGUCAAAGAUACCAGAUCUAAACAAUGGUAACACGUCAGUGAUAGAACCUUGACAACAACGAGCAAUGUCAACCUAAACACUAAAAGAGGAUCAUUCUCAAAAAUGACAUUUUGCAUUCAUACAAAUAUCAUUCAUAUGCAUCUAGUUAUGAGCAUUUGAAUCAUUCUGAUCAAAACAUCCUAAUCGCUUGGCAUAGAAUAUAAGCCUAUGAAAUAGAUUCUACAGGUCCUAUUCCUAGAGAGCGGUACAACAGGUCAGUGAAACAAAUCUUAUACCCCUGAAGUUGCAGUGGGUCAGAUUGAACUUAACAUAGCAAAUCUUAUCUCCUUAAAGUUGCAGUGGAGAAAGAUGAAGCUACAAAUCCUAUCCUUGAAGUUGUAGUGGAUCAGAUUGAAGCUAGGGGUGUGUAUUCGAUUAACCGACCCGAAAUAGCUAUAACCGAAUUAAUCGACCUUCCAAAAUUUUUAACCGUUAACUGAACUGAAUUUUUUUAAAAAAAAUUAACCGAACCGAAAUUUUUUCUGUUAAAUCGAUCGAUUAACCGAAUUAACCGAAAAUUAUAUGGUUUUUAUUUUUGGUUAAAAAUUAACCGAAUUAACUGAAUUACCCAAAUUGAAUCACUACAUAAUUAAAAACAUUACAUAAGUCUUUGAAUCACUACAUAAUUAAAAGCAUUACAUAAGUCUUGAAAUUAACAUAUAAUUGAAAUGUAAGUCUUUAAUAUUCUCCAUUUAUAUCCAUUUCUUCUCUCCAAAAAAUCUCCAUUUGCAUUAAACCUACAAAAAAAAACAUGUGCAAAAAUUAAGCAUAUAACAAAAAUAUACGCAUUUAAAAAAUUUAAAUAAUAUAAACAAACGAAUAGAUUAUAAGUUAACAAGUAUAAGAUAGUAAGCAUACCUUCAACUCACGAAAGCUCAUGAAUUUAGGGUAGGCUCUGAUGCAUUCCAAGAAAAGUAUAAACAUUGAAUUAAUUAAAUAAGUAGGAGUGAUAUGGUAAAAAAAAAUUGAAACUAUUAAAAUAAAAUCAUAAAUAUUCCAUUUUCGAUCUUGUCAAGAUCUUGGAUUUGUUUUUCAAUUUUUUUGAUGUCUUAUUCUGAUGAUGAUUUUCGAAUCCAAUCUUGAGUAUACACAAGAACUUGUACAAUUUUAGGAGUUAAAGAACUCCUAUAUUGAUCAAACACACGUCCCCCGGUGCUAAAUGCAGACUCUGAAGCAAUCGUAGAAACGGUAUAGCUAACACAGCUCUGGCCAUUUUUGAAAGAGUGGGAAAUCUAGGGCUGUUCACUUUCCACCACCAUAAAAUAUCAAAAUCUUCAACAAUUUCCUCAUUAGCCUCAGCUAGAUAUUUAUCCAACUCAGAUGUUUUAUCCUCACUACAAAUUUCUAACUCACGCUUUUUAUACAAUGCUUGCAUUCGCCUUUUCAUUUUUUGUUGUGGUUCACCGAGAGAAACAUGUGUUGGCACACUCAAUUGGGUACAAGUACUAUGAAGUGAAGGCUUAUACACAUCAAACAAUUCAUACAAAGAUUCCUUUAAUUUUUGCAUCAUUUCACAAGCUUUUUCAGAACUAGACAUUUCACUAAGUGAAAAUUCAAGAUACUUUAGUUUUUGUCUAAGAUCUAAAAUACAAGUAACAAACAUAAGGAAAUUCAUCUUAUCAAUAUCACCCCAAUACUUAUCAUAAUUCUCUUUCAUCUUGAUGGCCAUAACAUAGAAAUCAACAUUACUUUUUAACUGAGCAUCUCGUAAAAGAAUAUCAAUUUUAGAAAGCUCAUCAAAAAAAUUAUUAGAUAUGACAUAUGAAGUGCCAGAUACACGCAAAGUGACUUCAUAAAAAUGUUCCAAGGAAUCCCUAAAGUUUCUAACAUUAUCCCAAUCAUCCACACUAGGCCAACCCUCUCUCCUUUCAAGUUCAGCCCUAAAGUUUGUAUCUUGCUCCUCAAACCUCUCAAAACCUCUCUCAAAGUUCUGAACAGUGUCAUAUAUUAAGUAGGUCGAGUUCCACCUAGUACAAACAUCAAAACACAACAUCUUCUUGCACUCUAUCUUUUCCACCACAACACACUCCUUAAAAUUUUGUAAUCUAGCUGGAAAUUGUCUCACUUAUCUAGCAUCCCCCCUAACACGUUUAACAGAUUUAUUCAUUUCCUUUAGGCCUUCAACAACAAUCAAAUUCACAAUGUGUGCCAUGCAUCUCAUAUGAAGAUAUUUACCAUUUUGAACAAACCCUCUCGAGGGUUAAAUUUCUUUCUCAAAUAACCAAUAGCAACAUCAUUUGAACUUGCAUUAUCAACAGUAACAGUAAACAACUUAUCAAUCCCCCAAUUGAACAAGCAUUUCUCAAUCACCAUCCUAAUAGACUCACCCUUAUGACUAGAAAUUGGACAAAAGUUUAAAAUCUUUUUAUUCAAUUUCCAAUUGUGAUCAAUAAAGUGAGCAGUGAUGCACAAAUAAUUAUCUCUUUGCAAAGAAGUCCAUGUGUCAGUAGUUAAGCAAACUCUAGAACAAGAACUUCUCAAAAUUUGUUUUAUCUUGAUCUUUUCAUCUAAAUACAAUUGAUAAACAUCCCUAGUCAUAGUAGUUCAUGAAGAAAUAUGAAACCUAGGACAUGCCACAAACAUCAAUUUCUUAAAACCUUCACUUUCAACAAACUUGAAAUGUAAUUCAUCAAUCACAAUCAUUUGUGCUAAUCCUUUCCUACAUUCUUCUUGAUCAAAUCUCCAAGUUGAAAGAAUCCCUUCUCCCCCUUCAACUCCCUUUCUAGGUAAAACUAGUUGUCCUUGAGUAUUUUCAACAACAUUACUAAGAUUUUUCUUACAUGAAACAAUAUGAUAUUUCAAUGACCCUGUACCAUUUUUUUCAUAUCACAACAAAAUCCCUUUUGACAAUAAUUACAUUUAACCUUACUUGCACCCUCACUAUUAAUAAUCUUAGUGAAGUGAGACCAAACUUCUGACCUUUGAGGAGUGGCUUUUCUUUUCCUGGUAGUCCCCUUUGUUUGGCUUGAAGCUCCAACUCCCGAAUUUUCAGAAUCUAUCGAAGUAGGAGGUGUAACACAACCCUCAAUAGAUGUUGGUUCGAUUGAUAUUC